rnacentral:rRNA from 1 species
UUGCCUACGGGGGGCAGCAGUGGGGAAUAUUGGGCAAUGGAGGCAACUCUUACCCAGCAAUGCCGCGUGAAUGAAGAAGGUCUUCGGAUUGUAAAGUUCUUUAAUUGGGGACGAAAAAAAUGACGGUACCCAAGGAAUAAGCCCCGGCUAACUACGUGCCAGCAGCCGCGGUAAUACGUAGGGGGCAAGCGUUGUUCGGAAUUACUGGGCGUAAAGCGCUCGUAGGCGGUAUGUCAAGUCAAGGGUGAAAUCCCCGCGCUCAACGUGGGAACUGCCUUUGAAACUGGCAAACUGGAGUGUGUGAG